rnacentral:rRNA from 1 species
UACAGAGGUCCCAAGCGUUGUUCGGAUUCAUUGGGCGUAAAGCGUGCGCAGGCGGUUCGUUAAGUCAGAUGUGAAAGCCCCGGGCUCAACCUGGGAACUGCAUUUGAAACUGGCGGGCUUGAGUGUGGCAGAGGGGGGUGGAAUUCCGCGUGUAGCAGUGAAAUGCGUAGAGAUGCGGAGGAACACCGAUGGCGAAGGCAGCCCCCCUGGGCCAACACUGACGCUCAGGCACGAAAGCGUGGGGAGCAAACAGG